AUUGAGAUCUAUUUUGAUGGGGCUUUUUCUGUAAACCUACAUCACUGGAAAUGCCUUGAGGAGUAACAAUGUAGUUUCCUUUGCUUACAGAAAUACCUGUUAGACCGUA
ensembl:snoRNA